UACGGAGGAUGCAAGCGUUAUCCGGAUUUAUUGGGUUUAAAGGGUGCGUAGGCGGGUGAUUAAGCGUGAGGUGAAAUGCCACGGCUCAACCGUGGAACUGCCUCGCGAACUGGUCGUCUGGAAUGCUCCUGCCGUGGGAGGAAUGGGUAGUGUAGCGGUGAAAUGCAUAGAUAUUACCCAGAACACCGAUUGCGAAGGCAUCUCACGAAGGGGUGAUUGACGCUGAUGCACGAAAGCGUGGGGAU
rnacentral:rRNA from 1 species